rnacentral:rRNA from 1 species
AACGAACGCUGGCGGCAUGCCUAACACAUGCCAGUCGAACGAGACCUUCGGGUCUAGUGGCGCACGGGUGCGUAACGCGUGGGAACCUGCCCUUAGGUUCGGAAUAACUCCCCGAAAGGGGUGCUAAUACCGGAUAAUGUCUUCGGACCAAAGAUUUAUCGCCUUUGGAUGGGCCCGCGUUGGAUUAGCUAGUUGGUAGGAUAAAAGCCUACCAAGGCGACGAUCCAUAGCUGGUCUGAGAGGAUGAUCAGCCACACUGGGACUGAGACACGGCCCAGACUCCUACGGGAGGCAGCAGUGGGGAAUAUUGGACAAUGGGCGAAAGCCUGAUCCAGCAAUGCCGCGUGAGUGAUGAAGGCCUUAGGGUUGUAAAGCUCUUUUACCCGGGAUGAUAAUGACAGUACCGGGAGAAUAAGCGCCGGCUAACUCCGUG